CAUUCUGGUGAAUACCCAUAAGUAUUUGAGGCUAGCUGGAAAAUAAAAUGUCACCAGAACAGCCAGUUACCAAAUGGUGACCCGCCCUCACGUUUCUCAUUGGAUGAGGGCGUGAACUUUGUAAACUGGGGGCAUGAACCGUGUAAACUGUACAUCAAUGGCCCAGACAACUGGGAAGAUAUAUGCCUUUGGGGACUGAGCUGCUCGGGAGGUAUAUGUCGUUAUUUCUCCAUCCCCCCGGAAACAGGAAUUACAUAGGAUCAUUCUGAUGGUGAUGCAUUGUUUAGAGGAGAACUAAACCCUAACCCAUCUACAGCCCUGCUCCAACCCCCUCCACUGCCCCCCCUCCAAGCUGCAUCCUGCAACAGCUCUUCUGUCCCUGUGUGCUGAAUUGACAUAAAUCUACUCAGCUGAGUUCAAAGGUGUCAUCUUCCCCUUUCUUCUGAUCUUGCGGGAGCAUGCACAGCUGAAUCUACUUCCUGAAUCAGCUUUGACUUGCAUGCAAGAUCCAUAUUGGAGAACUGUAAGAAGAGGUCAGUAUUCAGGAGAAGAUUGUUCCCAACCUGGACCUGCUGUGAGUCAGGCCCGCCACUCUCUAAAAAACUGUUGCACUGGCUCAAACUCACCUGACCCAGGCCUGGAUAUAUGCAACACAGAGAGUAUAAAGUUCACUUCUUGGUUCUAAUUAUAUCUAGGAGGUAAUAGCAAUACAAAAAGUGUGAUAAGAAUGUACAGUGCACCAGGUUUAGCAAGCAUUUGAAAUCCUGUCAUGCAGCUGUAGCAACAUCCUCAAUCAACCUGGACUUUUAAUUCUUUAUAAUUAUUAA